ACAAAUUUGUUACAUGUCAGUGAGACCUUUUUCAAAGGAUUUUAUUCAAUUUGGCUUUUUGUGGCUAAAAAAAACCUCACAAAUUACCUGUUACACCCAAAACAUUUGAUGCUCCAUCCAUCUUAAGGAGCCAUCCUUAAGUCUGCUCCCACCCUCAGUAGAAUCUCUUCUCUACAAAGUGGUAGGUCAGCAUGACAUUGUUUUGAGUGUGGCAUUAUUUCCUGGUGCUCGUUUCCUGGAUUGUAUUAUCCGCUUUCCUUUACCAAGGCAGACAGAACAGCUGCCUUAGCCUGACAACCGGUUGUCCUCAGCGCAAAUGAACUUCAGCUUUGGGAAAUUCAGGCCAGAAAGGUUCCGAGGGGCUCUGGGAGUGACGGUGCUUUCUAGGUCGUAGGUCAUAUGUGGAGAUGGAGGGCCGCUUCCACCCG
rnacentral:lncRNA from 1 species